GACGAACGCUGGCGGCGUGCCUAAUACAUGCAAGUCGAACGCAGUGGGGACGGGUGAGUAACACGUGGGUAACCUACCAUAAGAGGGGAUAACACUUGGAAACAGGUGCUAAACCGAUACUGAUGGAUGGACCCGCGGUGCAUUAGCUAGUUGGUGAGUUACCGCCUAACCAAGGCCACGAUGCAUAGCCGCCCUGAGAGGGUGAUCGGCCACACGGGGACUGGGACACGGCCCAGACUCCUACGGGAGGAACCAGUAGGGAAUCUUCGGCAAUGGACGAAAGUCUGACCGAGCAACGCCGCGUGAGUGAAGAAGGUUUUCGGAUCGUAAAACUCUGUUUUUAGAGAUGCGGUAUCUAACCAGAAAGCCACGGCUAACUACGUGCCAGCAGCCGCGGUAAUAC
rnacentral:rRNA from 1 species